AAGUCGUAACAAGGUUUCUGUAGGUGAACCUGCAGAAGGAUCAUUAGUGAAGAUUCAAGGGCCAGCCAUACAGACGUACAAUAAGUGUGUCUCUGGCGGCUCGCAUCCACUAUACAUCCAUAAACCCGUGUGCACUGUUCUAAGGAGUAAGAAAGAAGAAGGGGAGGGGAGAGAGAGUGCAUGUGCUUUGCAUAUAACUCUCUCUCACUCUCCACUCUCUUUCUCUCUCCGGUUAAUUACAAACUCGUAUGGAUUUGUAUGAACGUGAGAUAUAUCGUUGGACCGUCACUGGCCAACAAAUAUAACACAACUUUCGACAACGGAUCUCUUGGUUCUC
rnacentral:misc_RNA from 1 species